rnacentral:lncRNA from 1 species
UUUUUUUCUUUUCUUGUCUUUUUUUUUUUUUUUCCUAAUCAUGUGGACAUCUCUGAGAAUGAGGGGACUGGGUGACUUUGCAGUGUCUGCUUUCUAAGUUUCAAAGUGACUUUCCAGGCAAGCUGCGCAUAUCUUGGGAUCUUCACAGCACAGUGGCUGGGAAGGCAGGCGGACCCGUCUAUCAGCUUCUCCCUGGUGGGAUUCUUGCGGGGGCAGGGAUCGAGUCAAACCUUGGAAAUGACGUCAUUCUGAACUCAUCUGCCUUUAUCCAGAAGACUACCAAAGCAAACCAGAGGACCAGAGAACAGCAGCUGCUCUGGACAAAGAGGGGAGGACACCCACACCCACAUACCAAGUUCUGGUUGACUUCUACAGCAGAAGAAGCAGGAGACACAAGAAGCUUCAGGCCCAAAGCAACAGGGCCCACCAGCCAUAGACAGAACUGUCUGAAGCUGUGAGCCCAAAGAAAUUCCUCCAUCUUGUUUUCCUGGGACUCUGUCACACUGAUGAAAAGUUCUAUGAUUCUAGGCUUUAGUAAGAAGGCCUUCGGAAUCUCCAAAGAAACCAAACGUGUACGUGGGAAGAAGUGUACUUGGUUCGUGUGAUUAUGGAGUCUGACAAGUUCAAAAUCUUCAGUGAGAGCUGUCUGGCUGUAUUCACGAAGAACCGAUGCCAUACUGUCUGGCUGGCAUUAGAGCCCUCUGGACUGAGAAAAAUGAAGAAUACCACCCCUCCUCCAUGACAAGGAGGGAACCAGGGGUCCAGAGCAGAAAGCAGUCCAGACCACUUAAGCUGUGGCUCUGCUGGCUCCGAGGGCAGCCAGAGCUUCACUGGCCCCUUCUUGGUAACAGCUGGUGGAAUGCCCCGACCUGCACAGAACAGGGAAGGGCUCCAGACCCUUCCCGUUGAGCACACAUUUCGUCCAGAUGUGCGGGUGGAAGCAGAGGGUGGAAAUACCACCGAGGCUGACGAUAAUGUGUUAACCAAAACAGGAAGCCCCGAGGAAGGUGGACGAGUGGGUUUCACUUCAGCUGUGUGAUUUUUAUCAAUACGUUUAUUGUUCUAAAACUCUUCUUUUUAAAAGGUAUUUUCAAAACAAGCCCAA